UUAGAUCAUAGAGUUAGUUUUCGGUUAUGAUUGGAUAUUGUAAAUUAGUUAGAGUUAACUGUGGAUUUCAGUUUCUGUUAGGUUAACUUGGAUGAGAAAUUCUGUUAGACCGUUAGUGAAUUGUUAAUGCAGUUAUGCUUGGUUAUUGGUUUUUUGUGAAAACUGUUAAGGUUGGUUGCAAUCGGUUAGUCACUGUUAGUUGAAGAAGUAAGUUAGAAUGUUAUAUUCAUGAAUUGGAAUUCAAGUGAUUUAGUUAAUCUGUUA
rnacentral:lncRNA from 1 species